UGCUAGGGGCCGCCCACGAGAAGAACGCCUUGUGGGUCGACAACCUGCCUGCACACACAAGCGAGGAAGACGUCAUUGCGGCCUUCGCUCCACACGAGGCACUCGAUUGCGUCAUCGCACGUGCCGGCUCCCGCAGCUACGUGUUCGUCAUUUUCCGCUUUGCCGCCGAGUCCCGAGCCGCCCUCGAGGCGCUCCGCGGUUCCAAGGUCAAGAGCGCGUUUAUCUGGUUUGAGUACACAUGGUCGGUAGCUUCUCACCCCCUCCUUCUCCCCUACUAGGAUCCGCUCCCACCUUGGAUCCCCCCAGGAUCUGGCUGCAGUUCGCGAUGUCAAUUUUUUGGUAAUUAGGACUUCGGUGCUUGUGAUUUGCAGUUUAUUUAGGCGGUGUGGGAUGAGGCCUCCAGCAGCUUUGAUAUAUGUAAUUAUUCAAGUGGCGGCACACGAGAUCAGCGGUGAUGGGGUGGCCUAGCAGAGGCAUGCAGGUGGCUGGGGGAUGGCGGCACUCAGGGUCCACGGGAGCGCGGCGGGCAAGGCCCUUGAGUUAGGCUGGCAAUUGGGUCGGGUUUUAGCGGGCCGACCUCUACCAACUCCAUGCCCGAAUAGCUAAUCAGGUCAACCCACGACCCAUGACCCAACCCUGGAUUUGACGGAUGAACCAUGCCCACACCCGAUGGGUGACCCGACCCAUUCGGGCACCCAUCGGGUCCACGAAAACAUUUCCAUCUUUUAAUCCGCCUAGCAUGCAACAAGUUCAAACAAAAUCGAUGAAUGACCUAGCACGAAGCGGUGGCAGUGGGUUCCUCGGCGGAGGUAGCCGCCAGGGAGACGCUAGCGGUGCGCAGGGAGGUCGGGAUGUUCGGAUUUUCUUUCUAACCGCGGGCCAUCUGGAUUGGGGGCAGAAGGGUUGGGUUGGGCAUUAAUACCGGAUCUUUAGCAACUCUUUUUCUGGAUCUUUAGCAAACCGUUCUCUACUACUACUUAUGGAUGGCAGUGGUGGGUAAUUGUUUUUCCGGAACUUCAGCAGAUCAUUUUCCGGAUUGGGGAACAAGGGUCAGGUCGUGCAGCUGUUUUUUAAACCGUGAUCUUUAGCGAAUUGUUUUCAACCACUUAUGGAUUGUUUUUUCGGUUAGCAAAUCAUUUUCUGGAUUGGGGAACAAGGGUCAGUUCGGGCAGCUCUUUUUUCCCGGAUCUUUAGCAAAUCAUUAUCUACCACUUAUGGAUGGCAGUGGUGGGUAAUUGAUUGCAACUUCAGGGCCAAGGAAGGCCAGGACAGACAUGCAGAAACAUAAAUCUCUUUAUCAGUGUUCAAGAAAAGCGUUGCUAAGCGACUAUUUAGCGAUGAGCAAUGGAAAAAUGCUUCGCUUUGGCCCUAAGUGGUAGAUUAAGCGUAUUUGAUAAUUUUUGCCAGAAUUUGGCUAUUUUUAAACUGCUUCUGCUUAGCUGAUUGCGCAAUAACGACAGUAUGUCAUUUAUGUUAUUAUUAGGGUCUGUACAAGAGUUGUUUCCUUCAGAUUCUAGCCAAAUCAUGGAAAGAUGAUCUGCAUUUGGCUAUGUCUAUUUGAACUGAACUACAUUUUUGUUGUCAUUUUGCUUGCUGUGUGAACCUGAUGUGUAUUUGCUAUGUUUUGAAGGUCAUUUUAGUUGUUACUUCAACCACCCGUGUGCCAUGUUUCCUAUUUUCCUGUGCAUACUAUUCAAAACAGUCAAAUUCUGGCCAAGUUUCGAAAAACACUCAAGCGCGCUUAAGCGCCCAUUGCUCUAUGUUGUGGCCUUCCACUUUUUUGAACAUUAUCCUUUAUGAGUAGGUAUAGAAAUACUCCUAGAUUGGUGAUUGUUCCUUGUUCUAGGGUGAAAUUGCUAUGUUGGUGUUGUCUAAAGAUUUAUGCCCUCAUGAUGUUUACUUGUCUUUGUUGAUUGGUUUUUACAAGCUAGAGCUGUUAGGAACCUAUGGGUUGGAGGAAUUAGUCUGUCUAUCUCAAAGCAGGAGGUAGAGGGAGAGUUUCAAAAGUUUGGAAAGGUUGAAGGUGUUGCAUUCUCCCAUGAUCAAACUUCUGCAUACAUCGACUUUGAGAAGCUGGAAGAUGCCAUUUCUGCCCAUAGAGCCUUGAAUGGGAUAGAUUAAGGGGGCAAGGAAUUGUGUGUUGAUUUCCAGAGGUCCAGAGGAAGAGCGGAACGGUCAGAAGCAGGCAACUUCAAUAGUAGAGGAUCAUUACCACCCGGUGAAAUGGGAAUUGGACAUGCAAAGGGUUCUGCUGGAGUACGAAUGAGAGAGUCAAAAAUUCCUACCAAUGUUCUCCGGGUGGGUUUACCCAAUACACAUAAAGUUAACGAGGAGGCACUAAUGCGGGCUAUGGCACCACAUGGUGUGGUUACAGACAUCAAAGUUUUUCCAGAAAGGCAGUAUGCUUUUGUGGAGUUUGCAACCAUUGAAGGAGCUUCUAAUGCUAAGAAUCUUCUAGAUGGGCGUCUUUUCAAUAAUGCAAGGAUUCAUGUUCUUUUCUCCAGCAGUGGGCUUGAUAACCUGACACCGCUUGUUGGGUUCCCUAGACCAGAGAUGUAGAAUGAGUCCACAUGCCGCAUGUGAUUAUUUUGGUGCUGGUCGCAGUAGUCAUGGUGCUCGACGUGGAAGGUCAAGAUAAUUGGACUAUGGUGCAAUGCCAAUCACUGGUGGUAUCGUUCCAGCACCUGAAGCUGGCUCAUCUUUGUUGUCUGGACAUUCUACUCAUAAUGCACUUGAUCCGAGAGAAGCCAAAAGGGUGAGGCUAGAUGCUAGCAUCGACCCUUAUACCAUGUCGGGUCGGGUAGCUUUUUUAACCUUGAUCUUUAGUGAAUCAUUUUCUACGACUUAUGGAUUGUUUUUUCCGGACAUUUAGCAAAUUGUUUUUCGGAUUGGGGAACAAGGGUCAGGUCGGGCAGCUCUUUUCCUCAGAUCUUUAGCGAAUCGUUUUCUACCACUUAUGGAUGGCAGUGGUGGGUAAUUGUUUGCAACUUCAGGGGCAAAGUCAGGACGAACAGGCAGAAGCACGAAUCCAUUUAUCAGUGUUCAAGAAUGUGUUGUGGUAGUGAAGUAUAUUGUGGUCAUUUGUGUUGUGGUAGAGACACAUUCUUUUAUUAGGGUCGGGACGGACGGCAGAAGCACGAACCGCAGAUACAUAAACUUAUGAUUAUUUGCGUUGUGGUAGAGACACUUUCUUUUAUUAGGGUCAUUUACAUUAUUUCUAUGUUUGUAGUGAAGUAUAUUAUGCAAAUGAGAUAUUGUAUGCAUUCCUUCUUUUUGAGACGUUUUUAAGAGGGAAAGUUAUUACUAACCAACUCCUUGAAUUAAAUUAAAAGGUGUAUAUGAAGGCCAUGUUUUUGCGAUUAUUUUUCUCAAGGUGGCAUAAUCAGAAGGCCCACCCACACGGCAAGGCCAUCCCUGCCCCACUCACAACAUAUAGGGAUGCAUAUAAUAUCUAGUAACUAUGGUAUGCUCUGAUUUAAGUUUGAAUGAUGUACUAAUACAGAAUAAUCCUUGGUUAGUCAUAGUUGUUUAUUUCUUGAGUGAAAUUGCUGCAUUCAUGUGCUAAUGUUGUGUAAUGAGUUGUGCACAAGUGACAAAAUUUGCUGUUAUUCAGGCUGUGAUUGGAUAUAAAUAUGAAGUGUAUUUUAUCUUUGAUCUGUUUCACUUUAAGUUAGACCGUUCAUAGCUAUCUCAUAGUUUUUUGUUGCUAGGACUACUUGUAUGAGGAUUUUAUUCAUCUAUUUCAUUAUAGAAAUAGUAUGCCUGCAUAAGGCAUUUGUUCUUUGAUUGGGUUUUACAUGAUAGAGCUAUUAGGAAUCUAUGGGUUGGAGGAAUUAGUUCAUCUAUUUCAAAGCAGGAGGCAGAUGAAGAGUUUCAAAUGAUUGGAAAGAUUGAAGGUGUUGAAUUCUCGAUUGGUCAAACUAUUGCAUACAUCGACUGUGAGUAGCUG